UGUCCCUGACUGGGUAGACUGGCACUUGGUUUGGUGGUGCUUGUCUCCUAUCAGCCAAGGACAAAGUAACUCCUUGUUUAUCCCAGCCUGGCUUUUGGUCUGUGCCCAUGCUGGUUCAUCCCCAGGACACAUGG